CAGUGUCUCUUAAAAUGACUAGGUGCCCUCUGCAUGCCUUCAAGCGUGGGGUGGAUUAUGCUUGCAGUCCAUCAAGAUUUGUAUGGCAAACUUAUGGUACUCAUUCUGGAAGGGGCUGCUCCCUUUCUCCUCUCCAUGGAUUCCUGAGGACAUUUCUCCUAUUACUCAGCAUCCUGCCCAACAGUACAAUCAAAAGAAGACAAUUUUCAUUUACCUAAAUCUUUCAGAUUGCCGGAGGUGAAUUGAGGUUUGAAGUGGGGUUUAUUAAUAGAAGAGGUAUCUAUAAAGCCCCUUUGAACAGCAUUGGCAAGAGGACCCUAUUGCCAGCUGUGCUUUCCUCACUGCUGGAAAUAAAGGCUAGAGAGAAGAGUGGAGCA
rnacentral:lncRNA from 1 species